rnacentral:rRNA from 1 species
CAGCAGCCGCGGGAAUACGUAGGGUGCAAGCGUUAAUCGGAAUUACUGGGCGUAAAGCGUGCGCAGGCGGUUCGCUAAGACAGGUGUGAAAUCCCCGGGCUUAACCUGGGAACUGCGCUUGUGACUGCACAGCUAGAGUAUGGCAGAGGGGGGUGGAAUUCCACGUGUAGCAGUGAAAUGCGUAGAGAUGUGGAGGAACACCGAUGGCGAAGGCAGCCCCCUGGGCCAAUACUGACACUCAUGCACGAAAGCGUGGGGAGCAAACAGGAUUAGAUACCCCGGUAGUCCCUGUCUCUUAUAC